rnacentral:rRNA from 1 species
ACGAACGCUGGCGGCGUGCUUAACACAUGCAAGUCACGGGGGCUCGUAGCAAUACGAGCAACCGGCGAACGGGUGCGUAACACGUGAGCAAUCUGCCGAUCUCUGGGGGAUAGCCGGCCCAACGGCCGGGUAAUACCGCAUACGCUCAUCGGGGGACAUCCCCUGGUGAGGAAACCUCCGGGGGAGAUCGAGGAGCUCGCGACCUAUCAGCUAGUUGGCGAGGUAAUGGCUCACCAAGGCUACGACGGGUAGCUGGUCUGAGAGGAUGGCCAGCCACAUUGGGACUGCGACACGGCCCAGACUCCUACGGGAGGCAGCAGUGGGGAAUAUUGCGCAAUGGACGAAAGUCUGACGCAGCGACGCCGCGUGUGGGAUGAAGCUCUUCGGGGUGUAAACCACUGUUGCCCGGGAAGAAACUCCUGAUUCGUCAGGACUGACGGUACCGGGUGAGGAAGCACCGGCUAACUCUGU